rnacentral:tRNA from 1 species
AACUGACUUGUAAUCAGUAGGUCCUCAGUUCGAUUCCGAGUGCCGGCA